rnacentral:rRNA from 1 species
UCUGCAUUGUAUAGUGUUCCCUGUAGUCGACGAGACCUUCUCGGUCUCGUGGAGCGCGGGUGCGUAACGCGUGUGAUCUGCCCUUGGGUACCGAAUCUCUCAGUGAAGUUUGUGCUCUACCGUAUAAUGACUUCGGUCCAAUGAUUUAUCGGCUUAGAUGAACCCGCGUUGGAUUAGCUUCCUGGUGGGGUAAAAGCCUACCGCGGAUACCAUCCUUAGCUGGUCUGAGAGGAUGAUCAGCCCGAUGGGACUGAGCCCGGCCCAGACUCCUAACGGAGGCACCCUGGGGGAAUAUUGCACUCGGGCGAAAGCCUGAUCCAGCAAUGCCUGGGGAGUGAUGAAAGCCCUGAGGUUGUAAAGCCCCUUUACCCAGGAUGAUUUUGACUAUGCCGGCUGAAUAAGCUCCGGCUAACUCCUUGCCAGCAGCCGCGGUAAUACGGAGGGAGCUAGCGUUGUUCGCAAUUACUGGGCGUAAAGCGCGCGUAGGCGGUUUUUUAACUGGAGGUGAAAGCCCGGGGCUCAACCCCUGAACUGCCUUUGAAACUGGAAAACUUCAAUCUUGAAGAGGUCCUGAAAUUCCUGAGUGUAGAGUGUGAAAUUCGUAGAUAUUAAUUCUAACACCAGCGGUGAAAUGCGACUGACUGGACAGGUAUUGACGCUGAGGUGCGAAAGUUGCUGGGAGCAAACUGGAUUAUGAUACCCUGGUAGUCCACGCAGCAAACGAUGAUAAAUACCUGUUCGGUCCUCGUAUCUAUUGAGUGACUACUUCUAACUUAUUAUUCUUAUCCGACCUGGAGUGCUACGGUCUCACGUGUUAAGUCUCACAGGCAUGUUGAAGGGCGGCUCUGCACGAGCGAGUGCUAGCAUGUAGGUUUUACUUUCGACCCCACACCACGCAGGAUGCAUUACUGUCGUUUGAUCAUCCCUGCAUCGCGGAAUAUCGUAUGACACUUUACUCAUUCAUGUUCAGGGUGAGGAUCACCGUCCCCUACCGAC